rnacentral:misc_RNA from 1 species
AUUCAAGGUGCUUGCAAGGAACUACUUGAAACUCAAAGCACACCCUCUGUUCGGCAAAAUUGAAAGGCUAAUGAAGGAGACCAAGAUCACACCUGCUGAUGUUGCCGAAAACCUUAUGCCCAAGUCCCCACUUGAUAAUGCAGAGACAUGUCUUUCAAACUUGAUUCAAGCCCUCGAGGAAGUAAAAGAAGCAGAAGCUUUUAAAACAGAGAAAGAAGAAGAGGCA